AAAAAACCUGUCCACACAUGGAAGAAUGAAACUAGAUUCCCAUUUCUCAACUUCAGAUGAAUUAAAGACCUUAAUAUAAGCCCCAAAACUUUGAAACUGUUAGAAGAAAAAGUAUAGAAAAUAUUUCAAGAUAUUGGCUACAAUGUCUGUCAACAGAGGAAUGAAUAAAGAAAAUGUAAUAUUUAAUACAUAGUGGAAGUUUUCAUCUGUGAAGAAUAAGGAAGUUAUGUCAUUUGACUGUACUCAUUUACAACUCAUAAUGGUUGUGCUUAUUUAUGUUCCCACCAACAGUGUGCAGUUCCCUUUUCUCCAUGUGUGUAUGUAUGCAUGUGCCAUAAGUGUGUGUAAGUCAGAAGAUAACCUCACAUGUUGUUUCUCAGGAACUGUCUGUCCUCCUCUAUCCUUUUUGUUUUUGUUUUUGAGACAUUCUUUCCUAAAUAAAAUUCCAAAUUUCUACUUCUCAUUAUUUGAAUCUGGGACGAGUAAGCCCCUGGAUAUGGCCCAUCCUGAGACAGUCGACUCUGUGAAACCUAGAAGGCAGGUUACCUGCUUCCAAGACACAGUGACAGGGCAGUC
rnacentral:lncRNA from 1 species